rnacentral:rRNA from 1 species
UCAGGAUGAACGCUGGCGGCGUGCCUAAUACAUGCAAGUCGAACGAGUUCUGAUUAUUGAAAGGUGCUUGCAUCUUGAUUUAAUUUUGAACGAGUGGCGGACGGGUGAGUAACACGUGGGUAACCUGCCCUUAAGUGGGGGAUAACAUUUGGAAACAGAUGCUAAUACCGCAUAAAUCCAAGAACCGCAUGGUUCUUGGCUGAAAGAUGGCGUAAGCUAUCGCUUUUGGAUGGACCCGCGGCGUAUUAGCUAGUUGGUGAGGUAACGGCUCACCAAGGCAAUGAUACGUAGCCGAACUGAGAGGUUGAUCGGCCACAUUGGGACUGAGACACGGCCCAAACUCCUACGGGAGGCAGCAGUAGGGAAUCUUCCACAAUGGACGCAAGUCUGAUGGAGCAACGCCGCGUGAGUGAAGAAGGCUUUCGGGUCGUAAAACUCUGUUGUUGGAGAAGAAUGGUCGGCAGAGUAACUGUUGUCGGCGUGACGGUAUCCAACCAGAAAGCCACGGCUAACUACGUGCCAGCAGCCGCGGUAAUACGUAGGUGGCAAGCGUUAUCCGGAUUUAUUGGGCGUAAAGCGAGCGCAGGCGGUUUUUUAAGUCUGAUGUGAAAGCCCUCGGCUUAACCGAGGAAGUGCAUCGGAAACUGGGAAACUUGAGUGCAGAAGAGGACAGUGGAACUCCAUGUGUAGCGGUGAAAUGCGUAGAUAUAUGGAAGAACACCAGUGGCGAAGGCGGCUGUCUGGUCUGUAACUGACGCUGAGGCUCGAAAGCAUGGGUAGCGAACAGGAUUAGAUACCCUGGUAGUCCAUGCCGUAAACGAUGAAUGCUAGGUGUUGGAGGGUUUCCGCCCUUCAGUGCCGCAGCUAACGCAUUAAGCAUUCCGCCUGGGGAGUACGACCGCAAGGUUGAAACUCAAAGGAAUUGACGGGGGCCCGCACAAGCGGUGGAGCAUGUGGUUUAAUUCGAAGCAACGCGAAGAACCUUACCAGGUCUUGACAUCUUUUGAUCACCUGAGAGAUCAGGUUUCCCCUUCGGGGGCAAAAUGACAGGUGGUGCAUGGUUGUCGUCAGCUCGUGUCGUGAGAUGUUGGGUUAAGUCCCGCAACGAGCGCAACCCUUAUGACUAGUUGCCAGCAUUUAGUUGGGCACUCUAGUAAGACUGCCGGUGACAAACCGGAGGAAGGUGGGGAUGACGUCAAAUCAUCAUGCCCCUUAUGACCUGGGCUACACACGUGCUACAAUGGAUGGUACAACGAGUUGCGAGACCGCGAGGUCAAGCUAAUCUCUUAAAGCCAUUCUCAGUUCGGACUGUAGGCUGCAACUCGCCUACACGAAGUCGGAAUCGCUAGUAAUCGCGGAUCAGCACGCCGCGGUGAAUACUUUCCCGGGCC